rnacentral:rRNA from 1 species
AUUGAACGCUGGCGGCAUGCUUUACACAUGCAAGUCGAACGGCAGCACGGGGGCAACCCUGGUGGCGAGUGGCGAACGGGUGAGUAAUGUAUCGGAACGUACCCGGCAAUGGGGGAUAGCUCGGCGAAAGCCGGAUUAAUACCGCAUAUGCCCUGAGGGGGAAAGCAGGGGAUCGAAAGACCUUGCGUUGUCGGAGCGGCCGAUAUCAGAUUAGCUUGUUGGUGAGGUAAAGGCUCACCAAGGCGACGAUCUGUAGCUGGUCUGAGAGGACGACCAGCCACACUGGGACUGAGACACGGCCCAGACGCCUACGGGAGGCAGCAGUGGGGAAGUUUGGACAAUGGGGGCAACCCUGAUCCAGCCAUGCCGCGUGAGGGGAGAAGGCCUUCGGGUUGUAAAGCUCUUUCGGACGGAAAGAAAUCGCACUUGAUAAUACCUUGUGUGGAUGACGGUACCGUAAGAAGAAGCACCGGCUAACUACGUGCCAGCAGCCGCAGUAA